rnacentral:rRNA from 1 species
CAGCAGCCACGGGAAUACGUAGGUGGCGAGCGUUGUCCGGAAUUAUUGGGCGUAAAGGGAGCGCAGGCGGACAUAUAAGUCCAUCUUAAAAGUGCGGGGCUCAACCCCGUGAGGGGAUGGAAACUGUAUGCCUUGAGUGCAGGAGAGGAAAGCGGAAUUCCCAGUGUAGCGGUGAAAUGCGUAGAUAUCGGGAGGAACACCAGUGGCGAAGGCGGCUUUCUGGACUGCAACUGACGCUGAGGCUCGAAAGCCAGGGGAGCGAACGGGAUUAGAUACCCCAGUAGUCCCUGUCUCUUAUACA